CUCACUGGAGAACUGCAGGUCUGU
rnacentral:piRNA from 1 species